GAUGAACGCUAGCGGCAGGCCUUAACACAUGCAAGUCGAGGGGUAGAAUUAGCUUGCUAAUUUGAGACCGGCGCACGGGUGCGUAACGCGUAUGCAAUCUACCUUGUACAGGGGGAUAGCCCAGAGAAAUUUGAUUAAUACUCCAUGGUAUAAUUGAAUCGCAUGGUUUGAUUAUUAAAGUUCCAACGGUACAAGAUGAGCAUGCGUCCCAUUAGCUAGUUGGUGUGGUAACGGCAUACCAAGGCGACGAUGGGUAGGGGUCCUGAGAGGGAGAUCCCCCCACACUGGUACUGAGACACGGACCAGACUCCUACGGGAGGCAGCAGUGAGGAAUAUUGGUCAAUGGUCGGAAGACUGAACCAGCCAUGCCGCGUGCAGGAAGACGGUCCUAUGGAUUGUAAACUGCUUUUGUACGGGAAGAAACACUCCUUCGUGAAGGAGCUUGACGGUACCGUAAGAAUAAGGAUCGGCUAACUCCGUG
rnacentral:rRNA from 1 species